rnacentral:rRNA from 1 species
ACUAGCAAUGGUUUGAUGGCGACCGGCAAACGGGUGCGGAACACGUACACAACCUCCCGAUAAGUGGGGAAUAGCCCAGAGAAAUUUGGAUUAAUACCCCGUAACAUUGCGAUGUGGCAUCACAUUGCAAUUAUAGCUUCGGCGCUUAUUGAUGGGUGUGCGUAUGAUUAGAUAGUUGGCGAGGUAACGGCUCACCAAGUCUACGAUCAUUAGCUGAUGUGAGAGCAUGAUCAGCCACACGGGCACUGAGACACGGGCCCGACUCCUACGGGAGGCAGCAGUAAGGAAUAUUGGUCAAUGGACGAAAGUCUGAACCAGCUAUGCCGCGUGAAGGAUUAAGGUCCUCUGGAUUGUAAACUUCUUUUAUAUGGGACGAAAAAAGGUCUUUCUAGAUCACUUGACGGUACCAUAUGAAUAAGCACCGGCUAACUCCGUGCCAGCAGCCGCGGUAAUACGGAGGGUGCAAGCGUUAUCCGGAUUCACUGGGUUUAAAGGGUGCGU